rnacentral:rRNA from 1 species
GAUAAACGCUGGCGGCGUGCCUAAUACACGCAAGUCGAGCGAACGGACGAGAAGCUUGCUUCUCUGAUGUUAGCGGCGGACGGGUGAGUAACACGUGGAUAACCUACCUAUAAGACUGGGAUAACUUCGGGAAACCGGAGCUAAUACCGGAUAAUAUUUUGAACCGCAUGGUUCAAAAGUGAAAGACGGUCUUGCUGUCACUUAUAGAUGGAUCCGCGCUGCAUUAGCUAGUUGGUAAGGUAACGGCUUACCAAGGCAACGAUGCAUAGCCGACCUGAGAGGGUGAUCGGCCACACUGGAACUGAGACACGGUCCAGACUCCUACGGGAGGCAGCAGUAGGGAAUCUUCCGCAAUGGGCGAAAGCCUGACGGAGCAACGCCGCGUGAGUGAUGAAGGUCUUCGGAUCGUAAAACUCUGUUAUUAGGGAAGAACAUAUGUGUAAGUAACUGUGCACAUCUUGACGGUACCUAAUCAGAAAGCCACGGCUAACUACGUGCCAGCAGCCGCGGUAAUACGUAGGUGGCAAGCGUUAUCCGGAAUUAUUGGGCGUAAAGCGCGCGUAGGCGGUUUUUUAAGUCUGAUGUGAAAGCCCACGGCUCAACCGUGGAGGGUCAUUGGAAACUGGAAAACUUGAGUGCAGAAGAGGAAAGUGGAAUUCCAUGUGUAGCGGUGAAAUGCGCAGAGAUAUGGAGGAACACCAGUGGCGAAGGCGACUUUCUGGUCUGUAACUGACGCUGAUGUGCGAAAGCGUGGGGAUCAAACAGGAUUAGAUACCCUGGUAGUCCACGCCGUAAACGAUGAGUGCUAAGUGUUAGGGGGUUUCCGCCCCUUAGUGCUGCAGCUAACGCAUUAAGCACUCCGCCUGGGGAGUACGACCGCAAGGUUGAAACUCAAAGGAAUUGACGGGGACCCGCACAAGCGGUGGAGCAUGUGGUUUAAUUCGAAGCAACGCGAAGAACCUUACCAAAUCUUGACAUCCUUUGACAACUCUAGAGAUAGAGCCUUCCCCUUCGGGGGACAAAGUGACAGGUGGUGCAUGGUUGUCGUCAGCUCGUGUCGUGAGAUGUUGGGUUAAGUCCCGCAACGAGCGCAACCCUUAAGCUUAGUUGCCAUCAUUAAGUUGGGCACUCUAAGUUGACUGCCGGUGACAAACCGGAGGAAGGUGGGGAUGACGUCAAAUCAUCAUGCCCCUUAUGAUUUGGGCUACACACGUGCUACAAUGGACAAUACAAAGGGCAGCGAAACCGCGAGGUCAAGCAAAUCCCAUAAAGUUGUUCUCAGUUCGGAUUGUAGUCUGCAACUCGACUACAUGAAGCUGGAAUCGCUAGUAAUCGUAGAUCAGCAUGCUACGGUGAAUACGUUCCCGGGUCU